AUGCGCUACAUCAGCUCGAACCUACCUACCCGACGCCUUAGUAUAUAAUGUAUAGUAUAAUUAUGCAGUAGAAAGUCUUUUCGUGGUAGCUUUCUGAGGGGUGAGCAGCCAUCUUGGAUUAUCAGUGGUGCAACGCAUUGCUCUAUAUACUCGUAUAUUGAGGUAGUAAAUACUUAGCAAAUUUUGUUUAUUAAAUAACAAAAACUAUAAAUAUUGUUGCUUAAUAUACAAUAUGUAUGUAGCUUAAAUGCUAACACAACACCUUAAUUACCAUGAAAGUAACAAAAAAGUCCUAGCCUAAGAUUUUCUAGAGUUGAGUAUAUGUAUGUAUGUAAACAAGGCUUACUGUAUGUACUAAGACUUUUCGCAAAUAAUUAUGUUAUGAUAAUAAAUGCCAUAAAUUUUAUCCUGUCGAGAUUAUGUUGGCUUGUUAUAAGCUAUCAUCGCUUGUACCCCUGCAAGACGGAGGUAACAGAUUGCACAAACACAUUGAAACAUUUUCAGCUGUUCACUAACACUGUUACAUUUUCUGGAAUUUUCAAUGGAAUGGGAGAAUACGAGAGGCGAAUACCCAAUAUUUCAAGAAGAAUAAACGAAAAGCGCAGUUUAUUUUGGAUUUUAAAGAGAGAAAACGAAAGAGGUUAACAAGGAGAAAAAGAAAUCAUUUGGACCAUUGGUAAAAUUCAAAUCUAUUGCGUGCAGCAACCAAAUAAUGGAGUAUGUUUCAAAUUAUUAAAGUUAAAUAGUGUAUAUUUAAUUCAAAUAUUUGUUAUAGAUUGUGCAUUUUAUUUUGAUUUUAUUAUUAAAUAAAGAGAAAUAAUAAAAAAACUGAGUUUUAUUUAAAAGAAUUUAGAAUUAUUUGCUAGAAGUAACAAAUGGGUAACAGAUAAUCUUGUUACUGCUUGUUCUUCCUAACAUGCUUAUAUGUUAAAGGUAACAAACUGAUAACCAAAAUAAUAACACUAACAGAUAUUCGGGUAACAAAUACUUUUUGUUAUCCAUAACACAUGGGUAAGCUAAGCGCUAACAAAAUAAUUUGUUACCCGUAACAUACUGUGAAGAGAUUUGCUAACAAAUGUGUGUAUUCUGUUAGAACAAGGCAGCAUGCGAUAUUUGCC